GUCAGCCCAAGGGGUUCAUCUGCAGUCUGGCACUGUGUGAUGACUAGUGUAGAAUGUCUAUUAGACACCUAGGGAGAUGCCAAGUAGGUGGCUGAAUGCGUGCAUCUUGAAUUUGGGAAGAAGGUCUAGGCUCUCGUGGAUGGUACUUAAAGUGAUAAGACUUGUUGAAGUGACCAGGAAGGGGAAGUGUAAGAAAUGUGAGAACUGGGAGCUCUGGGUCAUAGCAUGCAAAAGUUGGGAAAAUGAGAAUUCUGGCUAGGGAACAGACGGUGAAGUAGAAGGGAAUCAGGAGAACAAGGUGGCCUGGAAACCAGGCAGAGAAAGAGUUCAGAGAGGAGAGUGGUCAGCUGUCGGUACCACUGAAAGGUCUAGUAAGAACUGGAAAUUGACCAUUAGGUUUAGUGAAAUGAUCUGAGCUGCUUUUUGCCCAAGUGGCUGCGAACGAACUCAUUGGACAUUUCUUCUGGGUAACAGUGGUAUCUGCCUCAUAAUGGUUGUGACGAACAGUUUAAAUUGAUGAAAUUAAUUCAUUUACAGUGCUUGUCUUCCUGUCUGGCUGUUGGGUAUUUCAAGGUGAAAGUCAUGGGCCGUUUUAACAAGAGUACCUGCAGGCGGGCAGUGGGGACAGAGGCCUGACUGAAAUGAGCUCAUGUGAAAAUGGGAAGAGGUACUCAACUCUUGAGCUUCCUAUAAAAUGGGAAAGUGAGCUUUUGGAGGCCAGGGGUGGAAUAUUAUGGUUUGGAUGUGAGGCAUCCCCCAAAAGCUCAUGUAUGAGACAAUGCAAGAAGGUUCAGAGGAGAAGUGAUUGGGUUGUGAGUCUUAACCCAAUCAUUGAAUGAAUCCCCUGAUAGGGAUUAACUGAGGGCAGGUAAGUUGUG
rnacentral:lncRNA from 1 species